AAUAAAUUAUUUCACUUGAGUGCGAAUUAAUUAAUUAUGUGACAAUUUUUAUAAGCUUGACAACAAGAGGAACAGUUAACUAAAUUGAUUAGUUAAUUAACUAAACUGUUAACUGUUGGGUUAGUAUUUUGUGUCUUUUCAUUAAGAGAGACACACAUUUGAAAUGAUGAUGUUGAGAGAGAGUCAAGUUAAUGAUGAACAGAAAUAAUUAAUGGUUUAUUUUUUGUUCUCUUCCUUAAAUAUUAACUCAACUCUCACCAACUAAUCAUCAUCAUCGUUGUCGUGAUAUUUGUGAUCUAAAAAUGAUCUUUGAUUGUUCAAUCAAUUCCAUUUUCUUUUCAUCUCCUAUACACUUGUGUUGAUAAUUCCAAAGAGAAAAUGUAACAGACUAUUAAUUGUGGUUCCUAUUUGGGUUGUGAUGACAAUCAAUUGGUCUUCUUUCUAACAUCCGUUAUUCUACCAUCAGCUGAUGUUCCAAUAGACCGGAUAUUCCCAUAGAUGACUAGCAAGUGUUGUAAAGGGUCAGUCUAAACAGUUUUAAAUGUAAAAGCAGAAAUUUGAAAGGAGCCAAUAGAUAAACUUACGACAACAACAACAACAACACAACAGUAACACCAACAAGUCUUAAGGUCAACACUGGUCAUCUUGUUUUUUUCGGAACAUUCUGUGUAUACAAAGAUGAAUACACUUAGUGAAAGGAAAUAUUGAAAUAUUUGUUACAGUUUUCAUGGGAAAAGAUCACUUGAAGUAGAUUGGAGACCAAGUUGAUUGUUUCAUGGUGGAAGAUGAAAGAAUAUGAUGAUCGACCAUUUGGAUUAAGACUACACACAAGGACAGGAUAUCCAAUGAUGGAAUAUAUUUCAUCUUGUCUCUCAUCAUCAUCAUCAUCAUAAUCAUCAUCAAAUGUGAAAAGAUAAAAGUAGUAAUCGUAUAAGAAGCAUCAUCAUUAUUAUCAUCUUCAUCCGUAUCACAAUCUUAUUUACAGUUGAUGUUAACUGUAAUCACGGACAAUUUACCGAUGAUCACAAGGAAUGUGGUUCGUUAAUAACAUCAUCAUGAGGAUGGAUGAAACAACGAAAAAAAAGUGAACAUAAAUAUGAUGAUGUCUUUGAUUUGACGAUAAAAAUAAAAUAGCGAUUAAUAUUUGAUCCACUGGAAACCAUUAGGGUAACAUAUUACCUACACCAAGAUUGACAAGAGACCAACAUUUUUUUAUAUCAUCAGUAUCAUCCCUGCAUCUUUUAUCAUCUCGCCAACAUCCCAAUGGUUAUGUUGAUCAUCUUCCUUAUCUCCAUCUUCUUAAGGAAUUUGCGUGACUUUGGCCUUGUCUUAUUUUCCUUUUGACCUCAGGUCAUCACAAUGACGGAAUAUUUUUCUUCUAAGAAAUCUGAGAAAUUCUUCUCUUUCGACAUGUUCGUCAUUCUCAUCUUUAUGUUCAUCAUCAUCAUCAUCAACCUCUUCCGAUGGAUUCUUAUUACAACACUAACCGAAUGAUCAACAAUCAACUAAGAAAAGGCAAAUACAAUUGAUGCAAACAAUUGGAGACAAAUGAUUAAAUCAAUUGUUCUGCUAAUUGGUCUGUUGUAUUUACUACUAAAUAUUUAAACUAAUCAACAAAACGACAACAAUCAAAGCGUCUAAAAGUUAAUCAAGUUAAUUUGAUUCUUGUGGUUGUUGUUAUUUGUUUAUUCAAUUGUUUAAUUACUUUCAAAGUAUUUACUCAAAUGAUUGAAUUUUCAAUUAGAUGAUUUUCCAGGAGAAAAAAUUGUUUUACUGAUAAUUAAAACUAAUUAUUGGAUAAACAUACCAACUAUUCAAUUAACAGUUGAUUAACUAAUACCAUUAACAAUCUGAUUAAUGGUAAACUAUUUAUUAUCAUUAUAAUGCCACUUGAUCUUGAUUAGGUUUAAUUAAUCAGUGAUCAAUAAUGUUAAUAAUAAGUAUUGGUUGAUUAAUUGACAAGGAAAUAAAUUGCUUUUUAUUUAUC